GGCAAGAGGACCCGCUGAAUUUAAGCAUAUUAAUAAGCGGAGGAAAAGAAACUAACCAGGAUUCCCCCUAGUAACGGCGAGUGAAGCGGGAAGAGCUCAAAAUGAAAAUCGGUGCGCCACGCGGCGCCCCGAGUUGUAGUCUAAAGAUGUACUGUCAGCGGUGGCCCGGGUAUAAAUCUUUUGGAACAAGGUGUCACAGAGGGUGAGAACCCCGUCUAGUACCCGGAGUCCGCCGCGUACGACGUGCAUUCCACGAGUCGAGUUGUUUGGGAUUGCAACUCAAAGUGGGUCGUAAAUUUGAUCUAAAGCUAAAUACAGGCGAAAGACCAAUCGAACCUCCUAGUAGCUGGUUUCCGCCGAAAUUUCCCUCAGGAUAGCGGCCAUCGCGGAAACGUUUUGACCGGUAGAGCGAACGACUAGAGGUACCGGGG
rnacentral:rRNA from 1 species